GACUCCCUUUAACUUGUGAGAUCCUUGUCUUUACACUUGACUUCCCGAAUCGUCCUAGCAAAGGAUGAGAAAGCUGAAGGAGAUACACUGAUUCCUGAGUGCCAUGGAAUGCAAAUGAAGCAGAGUUCGUCUGGCUGGGACAUUCUGGGCAUUCGCUUCACUGAGACUUUUGGCUCAGGAGGGAUGCUUGUCUUCAGCAGGGGCUCCGGUGUGGCCCAGCUCUCCUGCGUCUGCGCCCUGGGAGCACAUUCACCUCUCUAAGACCCUGGAGCAGCUCUUCAGGUCUCUGAUAAAGCUGGAAGAGAUGAGCUGCUGUGCUGCCUCCCAGAGGGCUUUCUCCAGAGUCCAGAAGAGCGCUCAGCCUGUGUGAGGAGCGUCCCUGAAGUAUAGGGGACUUCCCAGCACCAGAGACGCCCCUGGCCAAGGGGAACAAGACUUGGUGGGUGAAUACUCCACAAGCCUUCCUUCAGCAGGGCGAUUUGGAGGCGCCUGCUACACAUUUCCUCUGAAAGGGUGGGCCUGAUGCCCCCAGUGGUCACCAGCUCAGUAACAUCGUCUUUCCUCCUGUCUCCCGCGCCCUGUCCCCUCACCUGCUUCCUGCGCUCACCUCCCGAAUAAACCACCUCUACCCAAGUCCUUGGCUCAGCCAUGCUUUUCAGGAAACCCAAUUAAGACAGAGACCUUGAAAGGCUUCCUUGGAAAUGUGGACUUUACUGAAUGGAAAAUAAUUCAAAACACCCAAGACAGAACCUUAUGGGAUAAAUAUUAGUUGAGUAACUGACCAAUUCUUUCCAGAGUAAAAUCUGGCAACUCUUAGAAAAACUGUCAUCACAAAGUCUAGGUGGGGACAUUCUUGUCUGUAUGUCAAACUUGAAAAAGUUCAGAAGAAAGGGAUGUAGACCCAGGCACAUCCUGCAGCUCAUUGCAUCUUACGUAAAUUAACUUUCUUCUCUUCAUAUUCAGGGAUCUUGAAUAAGUGCGAGAUCCUUGACACAUUUCAUACUAUCUAAAGAAUAAAAUGUAUCAGAUUUUUAGAGGUAAUUAAGUUGUUGCUGUGAGGGAAUGCAAAUCACUCCACUUAAGAAUUCAGUCUUCUGGUACAGAAUCAAGCAACCCUCUGCAGACAAAGAGUUAGAUCUCUAACGUACAAACAGGCUUGCAAAUUCAAACAGGCAAACACAAGACAAGCAGCCCCUAGAGAAAAACCAGAGAGGGAUAUGAAGAGCAAACCUCAAUGAUCAAAGAUAAGAAAGUGCUCAAAAGAAAAAUGCAAUCUAAAGAAGCAAAGCGAUAGCACUCCAUACCCAUCACACUGGGGGGAGAAAAGAGGCUGAAUUCUUAUUGAUGGUGAAGAUGAGGGAUACGAUUUCUCAGUUUUGCCGGUGAAAUGUGAAGUGUUGUAGCCCUUUGCAGGAAUCAAUCUGGCAACAACCAUGCAAAGUAUACAUGAGUUCAAUACAGCAAUUCCACUCUUGAGAAUCUACCUCCUAGAAAUGACAGUUCGAAUUACAUGCUCAUGUAUGUUCAAAGAUGUUAUUUGCAGUGCUAUUUAUUAAGCAAAAAACUGGGUACAAAAUGAAAGUCUGUCAAUAGGUCAGUUAUUUUAAAAUUGGCACAUUCAUAUCCUGUGUGUUAAUGCUGCUAUCCAAAAAGAAUGAAUUUGAGCUGGUUGACUUGGAAAGAUUCCCACAGAAUGCUGCAUAAAGAAUGUAUAAUGCAAUCCUGUUUUUGUAUCAAGGAAGAGGUGUGGGUGUGUAUGUGUGCUAAUACACUUCUGGAGCCAAAGUACCUGGGUUUGGACUUGGCUCCAACUCAUGCUGGCUGGGUGACUGUGACAACUUAGUGUCACCUGUCCAAGCUGCUGAUCUUCAUAUAUUAAAUUGGGACAAUAACAGUACCUACUUCACAGUGUUGUCAUAAGACUUAGGAUGGUGCCUGGAAUAGAAUGAGCUCAGUAAGUGCAGCUGUUGUCACGAUAGUUGUGUAAAUAUAUCAAUGCUGAUAAUUGUAUGUGGUCUGUGGGCAUGGAGAAGAAUACGCAGGGAUGCAAGGUUGGUUGCCAGUGUGAAUCAUUCGGUGUCAAGUGAAGAAGGGAAGCUCUGGAAUAUGAGUCAAGGUGAGGAAGAAAGAAUGCAGGGCAUGCAGGAGAAAACAAAACAAAAUGAAACAGAAAACACAACAGCCCAUAAACAUAGCAUGCUAGGCGUGUUGAUAGAUAACUUGUAAGGAAAAGAAGUGUGUGGAGGAGAAACCAGUAAUGAGAAGAAAUGAAGCCCUUUCCAACUUGAAAAACCGGGCAAGACCAAGCUACCGUGUCUAAAGAUGCACAUGUGAGUGACAAGACUAUAAAGAGACACUAGCAAUGAAUUAUCAUAAAAGUCUCAAUAGUAGUUAUUUUUUGGAGGAGGGGUAGUGUCUGGGAUGGAACAUGUAACAGGGACUUCUGGGGUGGCUGAAAGUUCUAGUUCUUGACCUGGGUGGUGGUUGUAAUAAUUCAUUAAGAUUUACAUUUGUUUUGUUAGUUUUUUGCAUCCGUAUUAUAAUUUACAAGGAAAAGGUUAAAACAACCUAAUAAAUGUGAUAUGAUCAA